rnacentral:rRNA from 1 species
GAAACACGGACCAAGGAGUCUAACAUAUGUGCAAGUCAUUGGGAUUUAUGUUAAUAAACCCAAAGGCAUAAUUAACUUAAAUGUUAAACAAAUGGGAUAAGUUUUUAAUCUAUUUAUAGAUUAAUAAUACAAUCCCGGGGCGUUCUAUACAGUUAUGUGUAAUAAUAUUUAUAUUAUUUAUACCUCUAACUGGAGCGUACCUUCAGCAUUUAUGCUGUGACCCGAAAGAUGGUGAUCUAUACUUGAUCAGGUUGAAGUCAGGGGAAACCCUGGUGGAAGACCGAAACAGUUCUGACGUGCAAAUCGAUUGUCAGAAUUGAGUAUAGCUGCGUAAGACUCAUCGAACCAUCUAGUAGCUGGUUCCUUCCGAAGUUUCUCUCAGGAUAGCUGGUGCAUUUAAAUAUUAUACAAAAUAAUCCUAUCUGGUAAAGCGAAUGAUUAGAGGCCUUAGGAUCGAAACGAUCUUAACCUAUUCUCAAACUUUAAAUGGGUAAGAACCUCACCUUUCUUGAUAUGAAGGUCGAGGUUAUGAUAUAUUGCGCCCAGUGGGCCACUUUUGGUAAGCAGAACUGGCGCUGUGGGAUGAACCAAACGUUAUGUUACGGUGCCCAAAUUAACAACUCAUGCAGAUACCAUGAAAGGCGUUAGUUGCUAAAAACAGCAUGACGGUGGACAUGGAAGUCGUAAUCCGCUAAGGAGUGUGUAACAACUCACAUGCCGAAGCAACUAGCCCUUAAAAUGGAUGGCGCUUAAGUUGUAUACCUAUACAUUACCGCUAAAGUAAAUGAUUUAUGUUCAAUUUCGGUUGAAUUAUAAAUUUUGAAACUUUAGUGAGUAGGAAGGUACAAUGGUGUGCUUAGAAGUGUUUGGCGUAAGCCUGCAUGGAGCCGCCAUUGGUACAGAUCUUGGUGGUAGUAGCAAAUAAUCGAAUGAGACCUUGGAGGACUGAAGUGGAGAAGGGUUUCGUGUGAACAGUGGUUGAUCACGAGUUAGUCGGUCCUAAGUUCAAGGCGAAAGCUGAAAAUUUUCAAGUUAUAAUGAAAAUUUAUAUAUAUUUAUAUAUAUAUUUAGGAUUUAAACACUUGAUUAUUUUUGAACGAAAGGGAAUACGGUUCCAAUUCCGUAACCUGUUGAGUAUCCGUUUGUUAUUAAAAAUGGGCUUCAUGCUCAUCCUGGCAACAGAAACAACCAUAAAGAAGCCGUCGAGAGGUAUCGGAAGAGUUUUCUUUUCUGUUUUAUAGUCGUACUACCAUGGAAGUCUUUCGAAGAGAGAUAUGGUAGAUGGACUAGAAGAGCAUGACAUUUACUGUUGUGUCGAUAUUUUCUCCUCGGACCUUGAAAAUUUAUGGUAGGGUCACGCAAACUUCUCAACAGGCCGUACCGAUAUCCGCAGCUGGUCUCCAAGGUGAAGAGUCUCUAGUCGAUAGAAUAAUGUAGGUAAGGGAAGUCGGCAAAUUAGAUCCGUAACUUCGGGAUAAGGAUUGGCUCUGAAGAUUGAGAUAGUCGGGCUUGAUUGGGAAGCAAUAACAUGGUUUAUGUACUCGUUCUGGAUAAAUAAAGAUCUUUGGAUCUUGUUCUCCGGAUAGUAGCUUACUUAACCAAUUGUGGAACUUUCUUGCUAAAAUUUUUAAGGAACUAUCGCAAGAUGGUCCUUUCAAAUUAUAACGAUUAUCAAUUAACAAUCAAUUCAGAACUGGCACGGACUUGGGGAAUCCGACUGUCUAAUUAAAACAAAGCAUUGUGAUGGCCCUAGCGGGUGUUGACACAAUGUGAUUUCUGCCCAGUGCUCUGAAUGUCAACGUGAAGAAAUUCAAGUAAGCGCGGGUCAACGGCGGGAGUAACUAUGACUCUCUUAAGGUAGCCAAAUGCCUCGUCAUCUAAUUAGUGACGCGCAUGAAUGGAUUAACGAGAUUCCCUCUGUCCCUAUCUACUAUCUAGCGAAACCACAGCCAAGGGAACGGGCUUGGAAUAAUUAGCGGGGAAAGAAGACCCUUUUGAGCUUGACUCUAGUUUGGCAGUGUAAGGAGACAUAAGAGGUGUAGCAUAAGUGGGAGAUUUAUGAAUUUAUUCAUAUAUCGCCAAUGAAAUACCACUACUCUUAUUGUUUCCUUACUUACUUGAUUAAAUGGAACAUGUAUCAUUUCCUAGCCAUUUUACGGAUAUAUUCAUAUAUCUUAUGGUAUUUGGUCUUGGUGCAAGUUUCUUGAUCAAAAUAUCAAGAGUUUGUUAUAUAAUUGCAAACAGAUUUUAAUGAAAUAUAUCAUCUUAUAGAUGUUAUUAUUAUAAUUGAGAUUUGGUAUAACUCCAGCACUCAGGUAUGAUCCAAUUCAAGGACAUUGCCAGGUGGGGAGUUUGACUGGGGCGGUACAUCUCUCAAAUAAUAACGGAGGUGUCCCAAGGCCAGCUCAGUGCGGACAGAAACCACACAUAGAGCAAAAGGGCAAAUGCUGACUUGAUCUCGGUGUUCAGUACACACAGAGACAGCCAAAGCUCGGCCUAUCGAUCCUUUUGGUUUAAAGAGUUUUUAACAAGAGGUGUCAGAAAAGUUACCAUAGGGAUAACUGGCUUGUGGCGGCCAAGCGUUCAUAGCGACGUCGCUUUUUGAUCCUUCGAUGUCGGCUCUUCCUAUCAUUGUGAAGCAAAAUUCACCAAGCGUUGGAUUGUUCACCCAUGCAAGGGAACGUGAGCUGGGUUUAGACCGUCGUGAGACAGGUUAGUUUUAUCCUACUAAUGACAAUUUUGUUGCGACAGCAUUCCUGCGUAGUACGAGAGGAACCGCAGGUACGGACCAAUGGCACAAUACUUGUUCGAGAGAACAGUGGUAUGACGCUACGUCCGUUGGAUUAUGCCUGAACGCCUCUAAGGUCGUAUCCGUGCUGGACUGCAAUGAUAAAAAUGGGGCAAUUGCAUUGUAUGGCUUCUAAAUCAUUUAAAGUUUAUAUUAAUUUAUAAACGGCAAUGAACAUAUGAUGCCAAUGUUAUUUGUAACAUAGCAAAUCCGGGAGGAUUAAUUAUCACCUGGAUGCCGCGCUAGUUGCAUAUUAAAACAUUAUUUAAUACAAUGACAAUGCCUAGAAUCAAUUGUAAACGACUUUUGUAACGGGCA